GAUGAACGCUGGCGGCAGGCUUAACACAUGCAAGUCGAGCGCCCCGCAAGGGGAGCGGCAGACGGGUGAGUAACGCGUGGGAAUCUACCGAGCCCUAAGGAAUAGCUCCGGGAAACUGGAAUUAAUACCUUAUACGCCCUUUUGGGGAAAGAUUUAUCGGGGUUUGAUGAGCCCGCGUUGGAUUAGCUAGUUGGUGGGGUAAAGGCCUACCAAGGCGACGAUCCAUGGCUGGUCUGAGAGGAUGAUCAGCCACAUUGGGACUGAGACACGGCCCAAACUCCUACGGGAGGCAGCAGUGGGGAAUAUUGGACAAUGGGCGCAAGCCUGAUCCAGCCAUGCCGCGUGAGUGAUGAAGGCCCUAGGGUUGUAAAGCUCUUUCACCGGUGAAGAUAAUGACGGUAACCGGAGAAGAAGCCCCGGCUAACUUCGUGCCAGCCGCCGCCGUAA
rnacentral:rRNA from 1 species